rnacentral:rRNA from 1 species
CCUACGGGAGGCAGCAGUAGGGAAUCUUCCGCAAUGGACGAAAGUCUGACGGAGCAACGCCGCGUGAACGAUGAAGGCCUUCGGGUCGUAAAGUUCUGUUGUUAGGGAAGAACAAGUGCUAGUUAAAUAAGCUGGCACCUUGACGGUACCUAACCAGAAAGCCACGGCUAACUACGUGCCAGCAGCCGCGGUAAUACGUAGGUGGCAAGCGUUGUCCGGAAUUAUUGGGCGUAAAGCGCGCGCAGGCGGUUUCUUAAGUCUGAUGUGAAAGCCCCCGGCUCAACCGGGGAGGGUCAUUGGAAACUGGGAAACUUGAGUGCAGAAGAGGAAAGUGGAAUUCCAAGUGUAGCGGUGAAAUGCGUAGAGAUUUGGAGGAACACCAGUGGCGAAGGCGACUUUCUGGUCUGUAACUGACGCUGAGGCGCGAAAGCGUGGGGAGCAAACAGGAUUAGAUACCCUGGUAGUCCACGCUGUAAACGAUGAGUGCUAAGUGUUAGAGGGUUUCCGCCUUUAGUGCUGAAGUUAACGCAUUAAGCACUCCGCCUGGGGAGUACGGUCGCAAGCUGAAACUCAAAGGAUUGACGGCUUGAAGNGNGCGAGNGACGACGAGGAGAGG